rnacentral:rRNA from 1 species
CAAUAGCGUAUAUUAAAGUUGUUGCGGUUAAAAAGCUCGUAGUUGGAUUUCUGCUGAGGACGACCGGUCCGCCCUCUGGGUGAGUAUCUGGCUCGGCCUUGGCAUCUUCUUGGGGAACGUAACUGCACUUGACUGUGUGGUGCGGUAUCCAGGACUUUUACUUUGAGGAAAUUAGAGUGUUUCAAGCAGGCGCACGCCUUGAAUACAUUAGCAUGGAAUAAUAAGAUAGGACCUUGGUUCUAUUUUGUUGGUUUCUAGAGCUGAGGUAAUGAUUAAUAGGGAUAGUUGGGGGCAUUCGUAUUUAACUGUCAGAGGUGAAAUUCUUGGAUUUAUGAAAGACGAACUUCUGCGAAAGCAUUUGCCAAGGAUGUUUUCAUUAA